UCUCUUUUUCUCUUUCUCUCUACCGAAGGUGGGGUUGUUCUUCCUCUUCCUCAAUCUUCUCCAUCUUCCUCUUCCUCAAUCUUCUCCAUAAACCUUCUUCCUCUUUCUAUCUCUCUUCCCUCUAUUUGUUAUUAUCUUUCUCUAUCAUUGAGAUGAAACUCUGAUCUUUGAUUAUGUAACGAUGCACGAAAUUAGGGUUUCAAAAAUCUUAUUUAGCCUAAAAGAAGAAACACGAAAUCAGGACUUUGGAGAAAGCACCGAUAUCCCUUUUUGUAUUCUACCAUGAUGUGAGAGUGAUGGAGUUUGCAGAUGGUGAACAAUAUUCAUACUUAUUCUGUUUUAUUGAAAAACCUUUUAUCGUCUGGAAAUUGGAGGAAGUAUUUAGAGAGCGCUUCAAAGGAUAGUGCAGGCAGAGAGUUUUUAGGGAGUGGAGUUUGACUGAGAUAUUUGUGGAGUGAGAGAGGACUGAGGUUCGAGAGAAAUCAGGGAUUGGAGGUGGACUCAGAAGUUGAGGGAAUCGUCGGAUUGAGGUGGCUCAAAGUCCCUAUUUUCCAGGCUUUUCAAAUGAUAACAUAUUGUCAAUGGAUGAAUGAACUCCAACUUCUCUUCAUGACAGUGUCCUUCUUUUCUAUAACCUUCAAAAUAAGCAAGCUGCCGGUGUGGUACUAUCAUGGUUGUUGGUUCUACAUUAGCGUUGCACAAGAGAAGCAUUGCUCCAACAGACGAGAUUACUACGGUUAUUUUGAACUUUAUUUUCAUUGUUUACUAUAUUCAAUUUUUACAAUUUAACUCUCUAUACAGGUCUAAAAAAUAGAGUUUUGUUUGGUUGAUUUUUAGUUAGGGCCUCAUUGAUACUAUAUUUUUGUAUGUCUCAAAUGUUUCCAGUUGUUGAACUGUCAUAUGCUACUGCAAAUUGCAUGGCAUUAAAAUUGUGUACAACAUGGCUGAAGCUUGCAAAUUACUGUGUAACUGUGGUCCAUAUUUUUGUCAGUUGAUGUUAAAUAAAUACAAGCUAUUAGUAAAAUGGAUUGUCUCGCCGAACUUUGUGUCCACUUUCUAUUACAAAUUUGACUGAUUGUAUUUGUUUUGAUGGACUUAUAGGUGAAAAUUACAACAGGUUUAUUCGUUGUACAAAAUAGAGUAGUGAAAACAGGAACAAAACCAAAUAGGAACAGCUAAUAGAAUAUCUAUGACAGCUAUGUCUCUAUUCAAAGCCAUUGGACCUGCUUUAGCGGUGGAUAACGGGAUGACCGCCAUUGUGAAGACUAAAAAACAAUGUAUGUGGAAAGCUGCUGGAGUUAGAGAUCCAAUGGUGGUUGAAUCUUAGGCUGCAGUGAGUGCAACCAUUUUCAACUGCAGAGAUCAUGGUCCUUAUUUAUGUAUCUGUGGUGUUUGAAUGAUUUGGAAACAAGUAUAAAGCUGCAAAUUCUUAUGUGUAUUUAUAUGAUAGGGGAGUGAUUACGUUAAUGGACUACCGAAAAUGCGCAAAGAGUGGAUUGAGAGGAGAUAAAAAACAGGUCCUCCAAGAUUCACUCAGAUGUACUAUGCUAAGCAGGGAAUCAUUACCGAGGAGAUGCUUUAAUGUGCUACUCGUGAGAAGCUCGACCCGAAGUUUGUGAGGCUUAAUGUUAUUCAUUAGUGAGAAAGCAUAUUCAUUCGUUCUAUUUUGUCAAGUGCGGGCCUUAUGAUGAUCCAUCUAUCAAAAUGAAGAUUGAUUUGCUUCUUAAAUCAGCAAGAAAAAUCAAGCUCAAUUUCAGAUCACUGAAGCAGUGAAGGCAAG